UCGGGGUGCUGACGAGUGGCGGACGGGUGAGUAAUGCGUCGGGAUCUACCUUAUUGAGGGGGAUAGCCUAGGGAAACUUAGGGUAAUACCGCAUAAGCUCGAGAGAGGAAAGGAUGGGCUCGAAAGACCAUUCGCGAUGAGAUGAACUGACGUCGGAUUAGCUAGUUGGUGGGGUAAAGGCCUACCAAGGCGACGAUCCGUAGCUGGUCUGAGAGGACGACCAGCCACACUGGGACUGAGACACGGCCCAGACUCC
rnacentral:rRNA from 1 species